UACGGAGGGAGCUAGCGUUGUUCGGAAUUACUGGGCGUAAAGCGCACGUAGGCGGCUUUGUAAGUUAGAGGUGAAAGCCCGGAGCUCAACUCCGGAACUGCCUUUAAGACUGCAUCGCUUGAAUCCAGGAGAGGUGAGUGGAAUUCCGAGUGUAGAGGUGAAAUUCGUAGAUAUUCGGAAGAACAUCAGUGGCGAAGGCGGCUCACUGGACUGGUAUUGACGCUGAGGUGCGAAAGCGUGGGGAGCAAACAGG
rnacentral:rRNA from 1 species